rnacentral:tRNA from 1 species
AAGCCCCGGCACCGUUAGGGUGCUUCUCCGAAUUUGCAUUUCGACGUUAAAACNUCAGGG